rnacentral:rRNA from 1 species
AUGCCGGGCUCGGAUCCAGUGCUUACUCUCCAAUGGGCCGAAUGUGUUGGUUACAACAGCCCGGCAGCCAGGCCUUGCGCGGCCCGUCUUGCUCCGGCGACGGCGAAGCGGAUAAGGCCACCCACCGCUCCCGCCACGGCGAGCCAAAGCUUUCGCCUUUCUCCCCUCCGCUCCGCCCCGCCUCCAAUGGCGUCGGCGUGCCCGCGCCCGCUCUUCCUCUCCUUCCCCAAGUCCCCGUCGCCGCCGCCCGCCGUCCCCGCCAAGCACCACCCUUCCACCACCGCCUCCCUCUCCGUCUCCACCCGCGCGCGCGCCGCCUCUUCCAGCGCUCCGUCCCCCUCGCCGUCUCCUCCCGCGGACGGGGUCGGCCCCGCGGCGCCGACGCGGGGCGACGUGUACCUGGGGAGGCAGCUCGCGGCCGCGGCCGCGGCCGGCGCCCCCGCGCGCGCGCCGGAGGAGGACGCCGAGAGGCGCCGCCGCCGGAAGGAGAAGCGGAAGGCCCUCGCCAAGAAGGCGCCCUCCGGCCUCGCCUGCUGCUACGGCUGCGGCGCGCCGCUGCACACCGGCGAGGCGGGGUCCCCCGGCCACGUCGAGCCCGCCACCUACGACCUGAAGAAGAGGCACAACCAGCUGAAGACGGUGCUGUGCGGGCGGUGCAGGCUGCUGUCGCACGGGCACAUGGUGACCGCCGUCGGCGGCCACGGCGGCUACCCGGGGGGCAAGCAGUUCGUUUCGGCGGAAGAGCUACGGGAGAAGCUGUCGUACCUCCGCCACGAGAAAGCAUUGAUAGUGAAACUAGUUGACAUAGUCGACUUCAACGGGAGUUUCCUGGCGCGCAUACGCGAUUUCGCCGGCGCUAACCCCAUCGUGCUCGUGAUAACAAAGGUUGACCUCCUACCCAGAGACACGGAUUUGAAUUGCAUCGGCGAUUGGGUCGUGGAGUCUGUUGUUAGGAAGAAACUCAAUGUCCUGAGCGUCCAUUUGACAAGCUCAAAGUCAUUGGUCGGCAUCACUGGUGUUAUAUCAGAGAUUCAGCAGGAAAAGAAGGCCCGAGAUGUGUAUAUACUGGGUUCAGCAAAUGUUGGGAAAUCUGCAUUUAUUAGUGCUAUGCUAAAAACAAUGGCAUAUAAAGACCCAGUGGCAGCUGCAGCUCAAAAAUACAAGCCAAUACAAUCUGCUGUUCCUGGAACAACCUUAGGUCCUAUUCAGAUCGAAGCAUUUUUAGGCGGAGGGAAAUUAUACGACACACCUGGAGUCCAUCUUCACCAUAGACAGGCAGCAGUUAUCCACGCUGAUGAUCUGCCUUCUCUUGCACCACAAAGUCGUCUAAAGGGGCGAUGUUUUCCUGCUAAUGAUACAGAUGUUGGAUUGAGCGGGAAUACGUUGUUCUGGGGGGGACUUGUCCGUGUCGAUGUUGUUAAGGCUCUUCCACGCACACGGCUAACAUUCUAUGGACCAAAGAAGCUAAGUAUUAAUAUGGUCCCCACCACAGAAGCAGAUGAAUUUUACAAGAGAGAAGUCGGAGUUACAUUGACUCCCCCAACCGGCCAGGAGAGAGCUGAAGGAUGGUGUGGGCUUCAGGGCGUUCGCGAAUUGCAGAUAAAGUAUGAAGAGCUUGAUAGGCCUGCUAGUGACAUUGCGAUAUCUGGACUCGGGUGGAUCGCGGUCGAACCACUUGGUGUGCCAUCUAGCGACCCUGAUAGCUGCGUCGAGGAAGAAGGCGGCGGCAGUGGCGAGUUGCAUUUAAGAGUACAUGUACCCAAACCAGUCGAGGUCUUUGUCCGCGCCCCACUGCCCGUCGGUAAAGCGGCAUCGCAGUGGUACCGAUACCAGGAGCUGACCGAGGUAGAAGAGGAGCUGAGACCCAAGUGGCAUUACUGA